UUCAUUUUCGAAACAAAUUUAAGGUAAACCGUAUAUGGGAAUUUCAGUUCAUAAAAUCAAUAUGGUUCUCGAUAUGGACACUAGAGGGACUGUCAAAAUCAUUAUACAAUACAAAUGAAUUACCAAUACUUAUAAAAUAUAGACUUCUUGCUAGCAUGAUUGAACUAAUUCUUUCUUUCUGGCUCAAGACUUCAAGAAAGUUAGAAGUGCGCGGCGCGUGUUAAAAGUCGAGUUAUAGUUAUUCCUUAAAAGCUAAUUGUUAAAAAGCUUAAAAUAAAGUGUUAGUAGUGCAGUUAGUAAAUUAUUAAAGGGUGCUGUGUGGCUAAUAAAAGCGGUUCGCAUUCCAAGGGAAUUGCGUGCAAUUGAACCUAGUGGAAAAAGGUAAAUGGAUCAAAAUGACUGUAAAAGUCGUCGAAUGAAAUCUUAUCAGGUCACUAAUAUCAACCUGAACAGGCCUAACGAGGCCUUUUUCCAUUUGUUUAGGCCAGUCGUCUGGAUUUCCGGGAGAAACUGGUCCCAAACGCCCAACUUGCAUCUAUUUGGAAUUUUCCAGAACAAAUCAAAUCCCUGAGCCAGAAAUCUGCCCUGCUGGUACUCCUUUGGGGUAAAUCGCAGA